rnacentral:rRNA from 1 species
UACGUAGGGUGCAAGCGUUAAUCGGAAUUACUGGGCGUAAAGCGUGCGCAGGCGGUUUUGUAAGUCUGUCGUGAAAUCCCCGGGCUUAACCUGGGAAUUGCGAUGGAGACUGCAAGGCUAGAAUCUGGCAGAGGGGGGUAGAAUUCCACGUGUAGCAGUGAAAUGCGUAGAGAUGUGGAGGAACACCGAUGGCGAAGGCAGCCCCCUGGGUCAAGAUUGACGCUCAGGCACGAAAGCGUGGGGAGCAAACAGG